AGCAGUCGCCGCGGGAAUACAGAGGGUGCGAGCGUUAAUCGGAUUUACUGGGCGUAAAGCGUGCGUAGGCGGCUUUUUAAGUCGGAUGUGAAAUCCUUGAGCUUAACUUAGGAAUUGCAUUCGAUACUGGGAAGCUAGAGUAUGGGAGAGGAUGGUAGAAUUCCAGGUGUAGCGGUGAAAUGCGUAGAGAUCUGGAGGAAUACCGAUGGCGAAGGCAGCCAUCUGGCCUAAUACUGACGCUGAGGUACGAAAGCAUGGGGAGCAAACAGGAUUAGAUACCCCCGUAGUCCCUGUCUCUUAUAC
rnacentral:rRNA from 1 species